rnacentral:rRNA from 1 species
GAUGAACGCUGGCGGCGUGCCUAAUACAUGCAAGUCGAGCGAACAGACGAGGAGCUUGCUCCUCUGACGUUAGCGGCUGACGGGUGAGUAACACGUGGAUAACCUACCUAUAAGACUGGGAUAACUUCGGGAAACCGGAGCUACUACCGGCUAAUAUAUUGAACCGCAUGGUUCAAUAGUGAAAGACGGUUUUGCUGUCACUUAUAGAUGGAUCCGCGCCGCAUUAGCUAGUUGGUAAGGUAACGGCCUACCAAGGCAACGAUGCGUAGCCGACCUGAGAGGAUGAUCAGCCACACUGGAACUGAGACACGGUCCAGACUCCUACGGGAGGCAGCAGUAGGGAAUCUUCCGCAAUGGGCGAAAGCUUGACGGAGCAACGCCGCGUGAGUGAUGAAGGUCUUCGGAUCGUAAAACUCUGUUAUUAGGGAAGAAAAAAUGUGUAAGUAACUAUGCACGUCUUGACGGUACCUAAUCAGAAAGCCACGGCUAACUACGUG